rnacentral:tRNA from 1 species
UCCCUGGAGGACUAAAGGUCAGGCCACAGCGCUCUCACCCCUGCAGCUUGGGUUCAAUUCCCGGCCAGGGAA